GCGCCCAUAGCUCAGUGGUAGAGCGUUCCCUUGACAUGGGAAAGGCCCGAGGUUCAAUCCCUCGUGGGCGCACCA
rnacentral:tRNA from 1 species